AUUGAACGCUGGCGGCAGGCCUAACACAUGCAAGUCGAACGAGUGGCGGACGGGUGAGUAAUGUCUGGGAAACUGCCUGAUGGAGGGGGAUAACUACUGGAAACGGUAGCUAAUACCGCAUACCAUCAGAUGUGCCCAGAUGGGCUUAGCUUGUUGGUGGGGUAACGGCUCACCAAGGCGACGAUCCCUAGCUGGUCUGAGAGGAUGACAAGCACAAAUGAGACGGAGAAACGGUCCAGAUCCCUACGGUAGGAAACAGUGGGGAAUAUUGCACAAUGGGCGCAAGCCUGAUGCAGCCAUGCGGUGUGGAGGAAGAGGGCCUUCGGUUUGUAAAGUACUUUCAGCGGGGAGGCGUUACCCGCAGAAGAAGCACCGGCUAACUCCGUGCCAGAAGCCGCGUUAAUAC
rnacentral:rRNA from 1 species